GGCAACUUGGCCGAGCGGUCUAAGGCGCUAGAAUCAGGUGAUUUGGUUCAUCCAUCUAGUCUUUCGGGGCGUGAGUUCGAAUCUCACAGUUGUCA